GUUGUGUGUGUCAGUGAUGAAGUGUUAAACUCACAGCACUAUAAACACUCUCAGAGCACUGAAGCAUCUGAUCAAUAUGCAAACACACUCCAGAUCAUUUACCUGAAGACAGCAGAAACACUGUUUUGUCAUUUAGUAUCUUUGCUAAUAAAUUUCUAUUGAUCAUUUUCAGAAACAGACACUCAUGAUUUACUUCAUGUUAUUUUGGGUGGAUCUUCUCCCUCUAAACACUGUUUUAAUGAUCAGUUUCAUUCAGACUUUGAUGCUGAGAGCAUUUAAUACCUGUGCUGCAGAUUUGAUAUCAUCAUGAUACUUUAUAACAGGUCAAAGGUCAUCCAAUAGGGAAUGACCAUCUAAAUAUUGCUGAAGAUUUCAUUAUAAAGCAGCUCAAUCAUGUUGAUGUUGAGAAGAUCUGCUGUUGAGUCUCAUAUCAGUGUGUGUGAGUGUCGUUCGUCUCUUUCUCUGCUGGAGUUUGUGUUCAUUUGAGUGUGACGGAGGUUUUUGUACGACGCUUUCACUAGAAUGAAGCACUGUGGUGGACUUUCGGUGGAGGAACUAAACUGACCAUCACUGGUCCCGCAGUGAAGCCCUCCGUGUCUCUGCUGCCGCCCUCUUCUCUGCAGAUCUCUGGAGACUCAGCUGCACUGCUCUGCCUGCUCAGCUCUUACUCUCCACAGGGGGCGACGGUGAGCUGGACGCUGGACGGGUCAGAGGUCACCGAGGGGGUUCAGACCAGCGCAGAGAGCGAGCGGGACGGACGCUACAGCCGCAGCAGCGUCCUGAGCCUCAGCAAAGCACG